GUGAAUCAUCAAAUUUUUGAACGCAAAUUGCACUCUCUUCGGAGAGUAUGCCUGUUUGAGGGUCAGUAUCAAUAUAAACAGGUAUGUUGCUUCUUUGUGACGCUCCGGAGUAUGGGUCAUCUUAAUAUUCUUUAGGUUUUAAGAGGCUUAAAUUUGACUUUUUUUGUUCAUUUUAGAGGUACAUAAAUUCUUUUUUUUAUUCUUCUUUCUUAAUGCUCUUAAUCCUAUAAGAUGCGACCAUAUCGUGA
rnacentral:misc_RNA from 1 species